rnacentral:rRNA from 1 species
AAAACAACUCUCAGCAACGGAUAUCUUGGCUCUUGCAACGAUGAAGAACGCAGCGAAAUGCGAUACGUAGUGUGAAUUGCAGAAUUCCGCGAAUCA